ensembl:snRNA U6 U6 spliceosomal RNA
GUGCUCACUUCAGCAGCACAUAUACUAAAAUUGGAAUGAUACAGAGAAGAUUAGCAUAGCCCCUGCACAAGGAUGACGAAUUCGUGAAUCAUUCCAUAUGUUU